rnacentral:rRNA from 1 species
UACGGAGGGGGCUAGCGUUGUUCGGAAUUACUGGGCGUAAAGCGUACGUAGGCGGACCGUUAAGUCGGGGGUGAAAUCCCAGGGCUCAACCCUGGAACUGCCUUCGAUACUGGUGGUCUGGAGUCCGGGAGAGGUGAGUGGAACUCCUAGUGUAGAGGUGAAAUUCGUAGAUAUUAGGAAGAACACCAGUGGCGAAGGCGGCUCACUGGCCCGGUACUGACGCUGAGGUACGAAAGCGUGGGGAGCAAACAGG